rnacentral:rRNA from 1 species
GAUGAACGCUAGCUACAGGCUUAACACAUGCAAGUCGAGGGGUAACGAGAGGAAAGCUUGCUUUCCUUGUCGACGACCGGCGCACGGGUGAGUAACGCGUAUCCAACCUGCCCCCAACUAGGGAAUAACCUUGCGAAAGUAAGACUAAUACCCUAUAAUUUCCUCAGAUGACAUCUGACGAGGAAUAAAGAUUUAUCGGUUGUGGAUGGGGAUGCGUCUGAUUAGCUUGUUGGCGGGGUAACGGCCUACCAAGGCAACGAUCAGUAGGGGUUCUGAGAGGAAGGUCCCCCACAUUGGAACUGAGACACGGUCCAAACUCCUACGGGAGGCAGCAGUGAGGAAUAUUGGUCAAUGGGCGGAAGCCUGAACCAGCCAAGUAGCGUGCAGGAUGACGGCCCUAUGGGUUGUAAACUGCUUUUAUACAGGAAUAAAGUUAGCCACGUGUGGUUAUUUGUAGGUACUGUAUGAAUAAGGACCGGCUAAUUCCGUGCCAGCAGCCGCCGCCG